rnacentral:rRNA from 1 species
UACGUAGGGUGCAAGCGUUGUCCGGAAUUAUUGGGCGUAAAGAGCUCGUAGGCGGUCUGUCGCGUCGGAUGUGAAAAUCCAGGGCUCAACCCUGGACCUGCAUUCGAUACGGGCAGACUAGAGUUCGGUAGGGGAGACUGGAAUUCCUGGUGUAGCGGUGAAAUGCGUAGAUAUCAGAAGGAACACCGGUGGCGAAAGCGACUCUCUGGCUCGUAUCUGACGCUGAGGUGCGAAAGCUUGGGUAGCAAACAGG